AUCCAUGAUGGCCGAGAAUAAGCAUCGAGCUUUUAACUCGACUACAGUCACUACUUCUGGAUA
rnacentral:tRNA from 1 species